AAAGUUUUAUUUAAGCUUAAAGUUUGAGUCUACUUAUCUUUUACAUGCAUGGCUUUGUUUUUAUAUAGGUUUUUUGCAGUAUUUAACAUUAAUUAUCUGGUUUUUCAGGAAUUAGGAAUAAGUUAGAGUUUUAAUGAAACUUGUGCCAGCAAUUGCGGUUAUACAAGUGAUGCAGUUCAAACUUUUUGGUUUGUAAUUAGUUGAUAAUUUAUAGAUUUAUUUUUUAACUUUUUGGGUGAAAUUUUAAGUUAAAUAAGGUUCUGAAUAUUAUUUAUGAAGUUAUUAAAGUUCAAUUUUAAACUAGGAUUAGAUACCCUAUUAUUUGAAUUGUAAAUUAAUUAUGCCUGAUUAUUAGUAGAUUAUUUUCUUGAAAAUUAAAGAAUUUGGCGGUAUUUUAGUCCAUUCAGAGGAACCUGUCCUAUAAUUGAUAGUCCACGAUUUGUUCUACUUUUUCUUUUAGUUUGUAUAUCGUCGUGUUUGAAUAUUUUAGAAGAAUAUAAAUGUUCAACUUGUUUAAUUAAAGGGGAUGUCAGAUCAAGGUGCAGCUUAUGAAAAAGAGGGAGAUGGGUUACUAUAGAUUGAUUUUUGGUUUAUUGAUUUAGAUAUCUUUAAUAAAUCGGAUUUGAUAGUAAUAUUGUCUGUUUAGUCAAUGUGAUUAAGGCUCUAAAAUAUGUACAUAUUGCCCGUCGCUCUCAUUAAAGUGAGAUAAGUCGUAACAUAGUAGAUGUACUGGAAAGUGUAUCUAGAAAGA
rnacentral:ncRNA from 1 species